CAGUCCUUCGUUCUUAGCACAAAUAUUGACUAAGCAUCUCCCGCAAGCCAGGCCUACAUGGGCACCAGGGACUCAUUGGUGACAAGACAAACGGACCCCUGGCCUCUUGGAGUGGAAUGGAGAAGCAGGCCAGGAAAAGCAGUCGGCCUCCAUCUGCACCCAUAUCUUAACGUCUGGCUUCCGGCUGUAGCCUCUCCAUCACUCCUGGACCAGCCCGGGAGCCAUGGGGGACUUGCAAACUUCAGGCACCCUGAGAAAGGCUUUGCGCCUGUCUUCCUGAAGAUCCUGGUCCUCACUUCAGGGAGCUGCUGUGGAAGACCAGAUGGCAAAUUGCACGUAAAUGCACUCAGCACAGUGUCUGGCACAUGAUCUGUUUGUGUGUGUUUAAAUCAUCUCUGGAGACACAGAGAAACCACGGCUGCCCCUGGGAAGAGGAGUCACACUUCUGGACAGACACACAGGCUGGAGGAAGACCUUUCACAAUAAACCCUUUUCUUGACCCAUGGGAGCGUAUUACUCAAAACGUGAGUGAAAU